AUUGAACGCUGGCGGCAGGCCUAACACAUGAAAGUCGAGCGGAGCGGCGGAGGGGUGAGGAAUGCCUAGGAAUCGGCCUGGUCCUGGGGGGUAGGGUCCGGAAACGGGAGCGAGUAUCGCAUCCUAUCAGAUGCGCUUAGGCCGGAUUAGCUAGUGGGUGGGGUAAAGGCCUACCAAGGCGACGAUCCGUACCUGGUCUGAGAGGAGGAUCAGACACACGGGAACUGAGACACGGUCCAGACUCCUACGGGAGGCAGCAGUGGGGAAUAUUGGACAAUGGGCGAAAGCCUGAUCCAGCCAUGCCGCGUGUGUGAAGAAGGUCUUCGGAUUGUAAAGUACUUUAAGCUGGGAGGCGUUACCAACAGAAUAAGCACCGGCUAACUUCGUGCCAGCAGCCGCGGUAAUAC
rnacentral:rRNA from 1 species